rnacentral:rRNA from 1 species
UACGGAGGGGACUAGCGUUGUUCGGAAUUACUGGGCGUAAAGCGCACGUAGGCGGAUUUGUAAGUCAGGGGUGAAAUCCCGGGGCUCAACCUCGGAACUGCCUUUGAUACUGCAAAUCUCGAGUCCGGAAGAGGUGAGUGGAAUUCCUAGUGUAGAGGUGAAAUUCGUAGAUAUCAGGAAGAACACCCGUGGCGAAGGCGGCUCUCUGGGACGGUACUGACGCUGAGACGCGAAAGCGUGGGGAGCAAACAGG